rnacentral:tRNA from 1 species
CCGUCGAUAGCUCAGUUGGUAGAGCGGUGGACUGUAGUUUCGAGUAACUGAAGAAAACCAAAGAAAGUUGUUAUACUUACGUGAAAAGAUAUCCAUAGGUCGCUGGUUCAACUCCGGCUCGACGGA